UGAGAGCGGCGGACGGGUGAGUAAUGCCUAGGAAUCUGCCUGGUAGUGGGGGAUAACGUUCGGAAACGGACGCUAAUACCGCAUACGUCCUACGGGAGAAAGCAGGGGACCUUCGGGCCUUGCGCUAUCAGAUGAGCCUAGGUCGGAUUAGCUAGUUGGUGGGGUAAUGGCUCACCAAGGCGACGAUCCGUAACUGGUCUGAGAGGAUGAUCAGUUACACCGGAACUGAGACACGGUCCGGACUCCUACUGGAGGCAGCAGGGGGGAAUAUUGGACAAUGGGCGC
rnacentral:rRNA from 14 species